GCUGUAAAAGCCCAUUGAAAAAAUCAGUGUAAGCGGCACCAGUGUGAGUGCCUCAGUGCAGGGACGUGCUUUCAGCAUAUAUGAAAGCACGCCCCUGCCACUGAAGGCAGAUGUGAUUGGGCAACAGAUUAAGCACUGACAGUGACUGUAACCAGUCACUGUCAGUGCUGUACAGGAAGGGAGCUACAGUGGCGGCUUUAUCACAUGUGGAUCGGAGGAAGGACGCGGGUCAGGUGCGCGCACCCCCUGCCCCCCUCCCCGGGAAUUUAUGUCUCUUUAUUUAAAAAAAAAACCAAUAGUGCGGUCCCCGUACACCAACCCCCCCCCCCCCCCCCCCCGCGCGCGCCACGUCGCGCCGGCCCUCAGCUUCUGCUGCCUAUCUUCAGAAUGAGCCGUCCCCUGUGGCUGCUGCAGAGUGAAAGGGAGCAAGAGGAGGGGGACGCUGGAGCUUACUUACCCGGCCGGCGUCUUCCUCUGUAGUGUAUGGCUGCAGUCAGCGUCCGUGCUGUCCAAGGAGGAAGGCAGAGCGUCUGGGACCCGGCAGCAGCAGACAGGAGGUGACCCCCAGCAGCAUAGGCACGAGUGGGAUGACAGACUGCAGCGUUCAGGGGAGCUGGAGAAAUAUCCUUGAUGGCAUUCUACUGCUGGUACUUACUGGUUGCACACCUCCAACAUUUCCAGUAUGGUCCCGGCCUUGACGGUUAUGGUAACUGUGGCAAAGCAGAUGAUACUUCCCAUUGGAUAUACCCGACGGCCCCGACUAUACAGGAAUGGGAGACUGCUCUGUUGGAAGUUAUCUAUCAUGAGCGCCGUAUGGCAACUGUGUAUGCUACUAGUGGUAUUGCUCUUUUCAAUAGGAAGUGGGGACUAGUCUUAAAUAAUAUGUCUUCCCAUACCCGAGAUCAGCUGCACAAGCUUUUUGACCCUGUUUCUAAGCGUGGGCAGCUGGCCCCUGUCUCUUGAUGUAUGUUGCUAAGAUUAUGCUGUUCAGCAAUGAUGUUGCCUGAUUAUUAUCAUCAUAUUUCGGAUAUGCCAACAUGUCGUUUAGACUCCUUAUAUUGAGUGUUACUCAGCUCCCUAAUCCCAUAUCCUCUUCCCCCUUCUUUUUCUCUCUCCUCAUUCCUCUCUUUUGGUUUCCUUUCCUCCCUUUCUUUUUUCUAAUCUCUCUAUUACUUCUUUUGACUUAAGUAUAAAAAAAAAAAAAAAAAAGAUCAGCCAUUAUGUAUGUUAUGUCAAUCUCUGGGCCUGUACUGUAAUUUUGUCCUUUGCUGAUAUCCGUUCAUAUGCUUUCCAGAUAUAUGGUUGUUUUCUCAUGUGUAUUUUUGGCUGCUCAAUAAACAAAUUAUAAAUUAAAAAAAACAAGACAUCUACAAAAAUUCACUUGUAAACUUGAACGUCAGUGGUGUAAAUCUCGUAUUUCAAGUGACUUCCUCACAUAGAAGACUGUCUACCACUCUUACAGAAAUGCCCUGGACACUGCCAAACAAACAUAUUUCCAAACUCUUAUCUCUGCUCAAGCAUCUAACCCCAAAUGACUCUUUAAUACAUUUAAAUCACUUCUGAAUCCUCCCUCAACUACCCCACCAACCACUAUCAAGGCACAGGAUCUUGCUUCCUACUUCAAGGAGGAGAUUGAUAAGAUCCAAGAUGAAAUGGUAUGCUCUUCGUCAGGCAGUGACCUUCUCAGUUCUUUACCUGAACCCUUUGGCACUCUCUCUUCAUUUGAUCCCACAAAUAAAGAUGAAGUAUCAUCACUCUUCUCAUCCUGCUUCUCUACUACCUUUCCUCUUGAUCCUUUACCCUCACAAAUAAGUAAAGCUCUGUCUCCGGUGCUCAUCCCUACCUUAACUAACAUCUGUAAUCUCUCUCUCUCUACUGGUAUUUUCCUGCACUGUUCAAGCAUGCAGUGAUUACUCCCAUUUUGAAAUAUACAAAAUUCUGACCCUAACUCUCUCUCAAACUACCGCCCUAUCUCUCAGCUCCCUUGUCUCUCUAAGCUACUGGAGAGACUUGCCUACACUCAACUCACACACUUUCUUAACUCACACUACUUAUUGGACCCACUUCGGCCAGCUUCCAUUCCCAAUACUCCACAGAGACAGCACUGACUAAAGUGGUUAAUGAUUUGGUUGCUACGAAGUCUAAAGGCCAUUACUCACUACUUAUUCUUAUUGAUCUAUCUGCUGCCUUUGACACUGUUGACCACUUUCUUGUCAUACGAACACUACAAUCCCUAAGUCUUAAAGACACAGUCCUUUCUUGGUUUCUGUCCUAAGAGAAAAACAUUUUGCUAUCCCUAAUGCACACUGAGUGAGAAAUAGCACUACAUAAUAAUCAGUUAAUACAGAGAUCCCCAGUGACAGAGAAGCCUUGCCGUUCGGCCUGGGGGCUUAACCCUAUGUCUACAUAUAUACGCAACUAAGAUCUCUGUAUUAUCUGAGUAUUAUGUAGUGUUAUUUCUCAGUCAGUGUGCAUUAGGGAUAGCAAAAUGUUUUUCUCUUACCAAGAAUUACCCCUCCCUUUUAGCACCUCAGUGACAUCACAAUCUGAUUGAGCAGUUUACCAAUAAAUGUAUAUUGUAUUUCAAAGAGGCAUGGAUGGGUCAGCAUUAGGAGGGAUUGCUGACUCCAGAGUGCCAUUGGAGAAGUUAGGGGUGUCUCCAGGUAGCUGGCUCUCAGAUGCUGUAGGAGCCAUUAUCAUGUGGCCUUACACUGGACUAUUAGACCCAGACAUAUUUGUCAUUAUUUAUGGGGUGGGUUUGGGGUGCGAUUUUUCCCUAUGUUAGUAUGGAUAGGCUGCUACAGGUUGGCACACCCUAACACUUUAUUAACACUUAUGUUUUUCCCUGUCGCAUUCUAUAUAUUUUUGUAUCAUUUUAAUCACACCUCACUUACAUAGCACUUACAGUAUGCGCUUCUUAUUAACCCUUACUAAUUUUAACCUGUGUGCUGCCCUGGGGUAGCUGACCUGUGCUGACAUGAUGGGGCCCCGCACCCUGGACCCACACCUAGUAUUAGGGACCCCCAGUGACAGAGACGCCUUGCCGUUCGGCUUGGGUCUUAACCCUAUAUCUGCAGAUAUACGCAACUAAGAUCUCUGUAUUAUCUGAUUAUUAUGUAGUGUUAAUUCUCAGUCAGUGUGCAUUAGGGAUAGCAAAAUGUUUUUCUCUUACCCAGAAUUGCCCCUACCUUUUAGCACCUGAGUGACAUCACAAGCUGAUUGAGCAGCUUACCAAUAAAUGUGCUUUGGUUUCUAUCCUACCUAUCUAAUCGCUUCUUCAGUGUUCGCUUCUCUGAAUCUACCUCCUCUUCGCUACCUCUUUCAGUUGGAGUACCGCAAGGCUCAGUCUUGGGUCCUCUGCUUUUCUCAAUCUAUACCUCAUCUCUUGGUAAACUAAUCAGCUCUUUUGGAUUUCAGUAUCAUCUGUAUGCAGAUAAUACUCAAAUCUACCUAUCCUUCCCUGAUUUGUCCCUAUCUGUAUUGUGCCGGGUCACUGAAUGCCUUUCUGCCAUUUCAUCUUGGAUGACAUCUCGCCACCUGAAACGUAAUAUUUCAAAAACAGAGUUAAUUAUAUUUCCACUGGCCAAUAGUAGGUACCAACCUGAUAUCUCUAUCACUGUUGAAAACUUGGCAAUCAACCCUGCCACACAAGCUCACUGCCUAGGUGUCAUCCUUGACUCUGAUCUGUCCUUUGUUUCCCACAUUCAAUCUGUUUCAAAAUCAUGUUACAUGCAUCUAAUAAACAUAUCCAAAAUACGACCAUACCUUACACAAGACACUGCUAAAACUCUAAUCCACGCUCUCAUUAUCUCCUGCAUUGAUUAUUGCAAUAGUCUCCUAACUGGUCUUCCUAAAACGAGACUCUCACCACUUACAAUCCAUUCUGAAUGCAGCUGCGAGGCUAAUCUUCCUCGCUAGACGUUCAUCGUCUGCAGAUCUACUCUGUCAGUCCCUCCAUUGGUUACCUGUAUUCUACCGUAUUCAAUAUAAAAUUCUUUUACUCACACACAAGGCCAUUAACCAAACUACACCAAUGUACAUCACUUCGCUUGUCUCAAAAUAUCUCCCAACCCGACCUCUUCGCUCGUCACAAGAUCUGCGUCUCUCAUCGACACUCAUUACUCGCUCCCACUCACGAUUGCAGGACUUUCUUUGGGCUGCACCCACUCUGUGGAAUGCCCUACCAUGCACAAUAAGACUCUCCUCUAGUCUCCAAACUUUCAAGCGUUCCCUGAAAACUCACCUCUUCAGGAGAGCAUAUCAAAUUCUAAAACCGUCCACAUAACUUUCAUAAACCUUCCUAUCAAAUUGCAUCCACUCUGCACAGUCCACACACAUCCUCACAUGUCUUCUCAUUCUUCACGUUCUCUUCCUCUCGACCCAGGUUCAUCAUUGCUGUCUGACCAUAUCAUGCAGCCCACCAAGAACCUUUGGAAUCUGGUGGACGACUCUGCAAUAGAUAGUACCUAUCCUUGUGUACACAUGCCUAUUUCCCGAUAGAUUGUAUGCUUGCGAGCAGGGCCUUCCUACCUCUAUGACUGUUUGUUAUUACCCAGUUUUGUUAUAUCAUUGUUAUUUACACUUGUAAAGC